rnacentral:rRNA from 1 species
AGAUGGCGACCGGCGCACGGGUGAGUAACACGUAUCCAACCUGCCGAUAACUCGGGGAUAGCCUUUCGAAAGAAAGAUUAAUACCCGAUGGCAUAAUAGAACCGCAUGGUUUGAUUAUUAAAGAAUUUCGGUUAUCGAUGGGGAUGCGUUCCAUUAGGCAGUUGGUGGGGUAACGGCCCACCAAACCUUCGAUGGAUAGGGGUUCUGAGAGGAAGGUCCCCCACAUUGGAACUGAGACACGGACCAA